CCUUCCUUUCUUUUGUCUUUUCCUCUUCUCCUUCAUCAAGGCAUUUUACGUCUUUUUUUUUCUUCCUUUCUUUUGUCUUUUCCUCUCUUCCUUUUUAUGUUUUAUUUUAAUUUUUUUCUCUUUCUAUUUCGAGCCAGCCAUUAAUCAAAAGAUGGAAGGUCUUAUUUGUAUGUGGAAAGCUACAAAGGCAAUGCUGAUAUAGGAAAAACUCAAUCAGCAGCUUAUAAAUUUGGAAUGCAAAGGAAGGACAAGAAAGAGUUGCAGUAUGAUCUGAAGGACCUGCAAUGAUUCAAUUGCAGAUUUUAGCCAGAGCCGUUGAUUGUGAUAUAGCUUUGCUAUCAGUAGAAAGCAAGGAAUUUUGGAAAGAAGCUAAACCUCUCUAUUUAGCACAUUUUCCACGUCUUCAGGAUUAAAUUGCUAUCUUUCUUUGGUGGAAUUUUUUAUUUGUUCUAUUAAAUGUGUAUGGAUUUUGUCCUUUCGCAUUAUCCCUUUCAUCUCUGUGCAAAAGCUAAAAUCUGUUAUAUAAAGAACUAAGAAAUCAUCAUAGAUGAUCCUUUUGAUGUCUUGGUUGAAUUUUUGUAGCUUGUUGACCAAUAACAAAGAUAAAUUGCCCAAGGCAUAAAGAGCUAUAGGUGAUUUAGUAUCCUUA